rnacentral:rRNA from 1 species
GGCCUAUCAGCUUGUUGGUGGGGUAACGGCCUACCAAAGGCGACGACGGGUAGCCGGCCUGAGAGGGCGACCGGCCACACUGGGACUGAGACACGGCCCAGACUCCUACGGGAGACAGCAGUGGGGAAUAUUGCGCAAUGGGCGAAAGCCUGACGCAGCGACGCCGCGUGGGGGAUGAAGGCCUUCGGGUUGUAUACCCCUUUCAGCAGGGACGAAGCGAAAGUGACGGUACCUGCAGAAGAAGCGCCGGCUAACUACGUGCCAGCAGCCGCGGUCACACGUAGGGCGCAAGCGUUGUCCGGAAUUAUUGGGCGUAAAGAGCUCGUAGGCGGUCUGUUGCGUCCGCUGUGAAAUCUCGGGGCUUAACCCCGAGCCUGCAGUGGAUACGGGCAGACUAGAGGUAGGUAGGGGAGAAUGGAAUUCCCGGUGUAGCGGUGAAAUGCGCAGAAAUCGGGAGGAACACCGGUGGCGAAGGCGGUUCUCUGGGCCUUACCUGACGCUGAGGAGCGAAAGCGUGGGGAGCA